rnacentral:tRNA from 1 species
GGAGAGGUGGCAGAGUCAGGUUGAAUGCGUCCGAUUCGAAAUCGGAUGUCCACUUAAUACGUGGAUCGGGAGUUCGAAUCUCCCCCUCUCCG